rnacentral:rRNA from 1 species
GAAGGUGGCAAGCGUUGUUCGGAAUCACUGGGCUUAAAGAGCACGUAGGCGGAAAGUUAAGUGUUUGUGAAAUCCCUCGGCUUAACCGAGGAACUGCUUGACAUACUGGCUUUCUUGAGGCAGGUAGGGGCGCGUGGAACUCUAGGUGGAGCGGUGAAAUGCGUAGAUAUCUAGAGGAACGCCAGUGGUGAAAACGGCGCGCUGGGCCUGCCCUGACGCUGAGGUGCGAAAGCGUGGGGAGCAAAAAGGAUUAGAUACCCUUGUAGUCCACGCUGUAAACGAUGUCUACUAGGUCGCGGUAGUUCUGACACUUUCGCGGCCGGAGCAAAAGUGUUAAGUAGACCGCCUGGGGAGUACGGUCGCAAAGGCUA